UGAUGUUAAUUUAAUGGAUAAUAUUUAAUAAUAAUUAAUUAUUUACUCAAUUUAUGUUCCAUUAAACAACUGUUAUUGGUGAAGUAAUCAUUCCCACAAGUAUUGUCACAAUGAUUUUUGCCAGUUAGUGCUGUAAAUUAACCAUCAAACGAAUUGCAUAAUCACGAUUAUGAUCGUGAUGAUCCUUAUGUUACUCAGCUUUGAUCACUAAAUUAACAUUAAUUGUCUAUUCUUUUUUUUCUUUGGGAAACAGAUUUUGUUGCCAUAGAUGAUGACUUAAUGAACAAUCAGUGGUAAGAUUUAAUGUUAAUGUCAACCUUUGAAACCAAUACCCAACAAAUGGAUUUCAUCUCAUAUCAAACCCUUGAUUUAUCAAAAAGACAAACAACUUUAGUCACUCAGCUCAAGAGUUGUCUUAUUUGAUCAUUUGAAUAUGAAAACCCAUUUAUUUGAUUCACUGACUUAUUUUAGCUGAAAUUUGAUAAUCUCUUUGAUCAAAUAACUUCCCAUUUUUUGUCCAAAUAACAUAAUCAAUUUGCAAGAAGUGUUUCAAGUUGGUUAGAUUAAGCUAAAGCUGUUAGCUUGUUUACAUGACUUUAUCAAGCAUUUGCUUUAUGGUUAUCUAUUGUAUCAGGAUUCAAUGGCAAAGUCAACUUGUAUCCAUAAACAAAGAUCUCGUAAUUAUGGAUCACUUGCUCACGUUGAUAUAAUAAUUAUAAAGGUCGAGGUAAAAGGUGCAAUGAAGUCUGGACAAUGGAAUAGAUGACCAAAAAAGAAUCAAUGAGGAAUCUUGAACAUUGGAGUGUUUGGUUUAAAAUUGAACAUCGGCAGUAAAAGAAAGCCAUUGACCUGCUCAAUGGUUUCACCUGUCCCUUGAAAAUCUUAAAGAUUGGCGAAGAAAAUAGUUCGUAUAAGGGUCAGUCUUCAGUUUCCAAUUUCAUUAAAUACAUAGUGAUUUGGUUGGCUCCAACAGCGGUCAAUACGGAUAACCACAACAUCAUCGGAAGAAAAUGUCCAUUCAAAGAGGGAAGAUAAGCAAAGGGAGAAGUACAAAGAUGAAGAAAAGUCAAAGAGUUUCUUAAACAAGUGGAAAUAUUCUCAAUGUUUCGUCUGGUCGUCGGCUAACUUAUUGUAAGGUGGAAUAUAAGAAAAGAGCAAAACUAAAGAUCACAUUUUCAACUACUUUUAAGGUAAGAAAAGGUUAGCCUUUCUUACUACUCAUAAGGAUUGAGUUACCAAGAAAAGGUUGCUGUACCAUUAUUAUUUUAUUAUCAUGGUUAUACUUUGGUUUUUGGCGAGUGAAAAAAGACUGUUGCAGUUUCAAAAUCCGAUAAACAAAUGGUUAAAUUUUACCUGUUUUUAUUGUUUAUAUUAAUACAUAAUACAUUGAGAUUUUUUUGCCGGACAACUCCAAGCACAGGACUUCUUCAGCUCCAAAUCUGCAGAAAGAAAACUUAUGAACUUGUAAAACUCGCACAUUUCCUUGAUUCCUGUGGUCAAAGAUUUUUAUAACUUUGCUAGUUAUUUAGAGACAAAAAAAGUCCUCACCAUGAGUUCAACUUUACAUUCCAUCAAAUUUGUUGGCUAUUGCUGUCCUUUUUUAACCUCAGUCCAGUUUUAACCUGGAUACUUCAGCAUCCAUUCUCUGGAUAUCUCAAUGCUCCUUCACUAUCCACCACCCAACCGCCCAUUGGAUGAACAAAGAGCCAAGACUUGAAGUCCAAAGAAAUUCACAGUAGUUGGCCUUAAAUUUUUUUACCUUACCGUCUCAAUGCUUUUCAAAAGGCAAAAAGAAAGCUGAAAGACUCAAAAACACUUCUAAUUCACCUAACCUCAUAGAGUGAUCUAUGAAAAUUGUCAAAAUGAACAGGUUAACCUUUCACAUUGACCAUUCAAAAUAAUAAUAUCAACUCAAGAACUUCCCAAUCAAAAUCAUACAGAAGUAAAAACAAAAAUGUAGACCUGUAAACUUGUCUAUUAUUUUUACCUGCAUUGCCAACAGUUGUUGAAUAACCUUGACUAAAACAUGUUUUUUUACCUUUCUCUUCCCAAUCUUUUAGAGGAUCCAUCAAAAAGAAACGUUACAAAGCCAUCAAAAGGCCAAAUGAAGACCCAUGGUAUCUCAUCAAUUUGAGGAAUCUUGUUCUAGAAGGCAAAAUAAAUGAAUAAAGAAACUCUUCAACUGAUACUUGAUUCAAUAUAGAAACAAGUAACCACCUUCAAUCACUAUAAAAUCAUUCUCAUUGGACGAUCCACUUCAUGGGAGGAAAAGGUUCCCCUUUGUUCAUGCGUUUCCCCUGAUAAUUCAAUUCAGAUUGACUGACAAAUCAAAGCUGAUGAAGUGUAUAGAGUAAAUGUGAUGUAUCAAUAUUUCAUUGAUCAAACUAAGGAAAAGCAAACAAAUUUUAAAGGCUUACUCUGCGGUUUUCAAGAGUCCAGGAGUCAUUUCAUUUAUACUCGAAUAGUCAAGUAUUUGUUCAUUCCUGAUUUUUGAGCUGAAUUAAUUUCCAACGGUGGCUUCUUAUCCUGGUGAAAAGUCAAUUACAAAUCUAUCAAGACUUGUUAUCGUCAGUUUGAAUGACAUUAUUAUACAAACUAAAUAACAUGUUUAUGCUAAAUCAACGUUUAAAUAGCAGGUCAAACGUUUUUCAUUGUCUGUUAUUGACUGUGAAAGAAACAAACAAAAAAAAAGAAACACUGAAAGAUGUUUUGAUGAGUGUCUCAAUUUUCAGUUGAAAUUGAGGUAAACGAUCAUACUAUUUAAGUUAAUCAUUUGAUUUCGUGAUUUGAAAUGGAAUGGUCAUCAUACUAACAGAUCCAUUAUCAAUAGAUAUAAGUAAAAAGUCAAUUUUGACCAGUGAAAAGAAAACAAUUUACAAACGUGAAUCUUAACAAAAAAAAGAGAGCAAAAAGUAUAAAAAUGAAUGAUCUACUGAGAAAAAAAGAAGUAAACGAAAAAACAUUUUCUUUUACACUUAUAUCUAUUUAUUUAUUAUUAAAAUAUUGUAAUGCACAAUAGCUUCUAUUAUUACAGAUUGAAAUGUUAUUCAAUUUUUCCUAUCAACAUCUUCAUUACCACAAUUGACUGACAACAAACAAAAUCAACACUAAAAAGUAUCAAAGUACAGCAGUGAUCAGACUUGAGUUAAUUUUAGGUGUCGAGCAUAUUCAGUCUGUAGAGAUGAGAAACCAAUGAAAUAGAAAACUGGACAAGUUCGAUCUUAUUGGUACUUCUAUCGUUUCAUCCAGUCAUAGACCAUGAAAUAAACUACGAUUUCGUUGACUUCCGAGCAAAUUAAUGACCAUGAUGAUGUUAAUAAUAAUCGUGAUGUUAUCAGUAUGGCAAAUGAAAGGAACCAAGGAAAAGCCAAAAACAUAGGUAACAUUUACCUUUGGUAACCGGAAAUAAUCCCAUAAGGAGUAUUCUCACAUAAUCAAGCCUUCAAAUAUGAUUACGAACGAUUAAUUUUCAACAAACUAUCAACAACAACAAUCAAAAGGGAGAAGGCAAGAAAAACCAAGUUGAUACCAACAGCAAAAAAAACAUUGCAAUGAACAAAUAAAAAGGCAACAAAAAAAGGAUGACAUUUCAUUUGAAAUAUGAUUUACUUGCAAUACAACAAAAACUCAACACAAUCAACACCUAAUUGGAUUUUUUAGACAUUUUGUUGCUUCCAGAAUCCUAAAUGUCUCUCAAGAACGUCUAAGAAAAUUGAUAUCACCAACUAAUCAUUGAUUAAGACAUGGAGGGUGAGAUAAAAAAUGACUGUCAAAUCAUUAGCUGCUCGCAAAAAAAGUGAAAGGACCGAGAAGCUGAAAUUGCAAGGCAAUGGUUGGGUAAAUGUAAAAAAGGCCCAAAAAAAUUGAAGAUAAAUUUGCUUUGAUUGUGUUGAUGAAGUACAAAGGAAAGUGAUGAGGAAGGAAUGAAUAAAUUCCAGUAGUAAGUGAACAAAAAAAUACCAACUAAUCAACGGAAAAGUCGAUUAAUGGUUAACAAAUGAUCUUCCAUAGAGUACAUUAAGGAUUGGUUUCCAUCAAUAGACUUGAACACCCUCAAUGGCAUUCCCUGUGUUAAUUUAUACUCUUUUUUACAUUGGUUUAUCAGUAAUUUCCGUUUGAUGACAUUAUUAUUAUUACAUUAUUACUACAUUAUUAUAUUAUUUGUAUUU